rnacentral:rRNA from 1 species
GAUGAACGCUGGCGGCGUGCCUAAUACAUGCAAGUCGAGCGAACAGACGAGGAGCUUGCUCCUCUGACGUUAGCGGCGGACGGGUGAGUAACACGUGGAUAACCUACCUAUAAGACUGGGAUAACUUCGGGAAACCGGAGCUAAUACCGGAUAAUAUAUUGAACCGCAUGGUUCAAUAGUGAAAGACGGUUUUGCUGUCACUUAUAGAUGGAUCCGCGCCGCAUUAGCUAGUUGGUAAGGUAACGGCUUACCAAGGCAACGAUGCGUAGCCGACCUGAGAGGGUGAUCGGCCACACUGGAACUUAGACACGGUCCAGACUCCUACGGGAGGCAGCAGUAGGGAAUCUUCCGCAAUGGGCGAAAGCCUGACGGAGCAACGCCGCGUGAGUGAUGAAGGUCUUCGGAUCGUAAAACUCUGUUAUUAGGGAAGAACAAAUGUGUAAGUAGCUAUGCACGUCUUGACGGUACCUAAUCAGAAAGCCACGGCUAACUACGUG